CUUAAAAUGGUUUGUCCUGGUUAAAUGAAUAUUUAAAUAAACAUUUAACCAGUAAUAAAACUAGUGAAAUCAGUUAUUAUGUAAAGUGUUGCAUAAAUUGUGUGUGUG